UACGAAGGGGGCUAGCGUUGCUCGGAAUGACUGGGCGUAAAGGGCGCGUAGGCGGUGUGUCAAGUCAGGCGUGAAAGCCCCGGGCUCAACCUGGGAACCGCGCUUGAGACUGGCACGCUCGAGUCCGGGAGAGGAUGGUGGAAUUCCCAGUGUAGAGGUGAAAUUCGUAGAUAUUGGGAAGAACACCGAUGGCGAAGGCAGCCAUCUGGACCGGCACUGACGCUGAGGCGCGAAAGCCAGGGGAGCAAACGGG
rnacentral:rRNA from 1 species